UUGUGUAUGGCUGUUUAUCCUUGCCUGUUCUGGGUUGAGGUAGUUGUUUGUACAGUU
rnacentral:pre_miRNA from 1 species